rnacentral:lncRNA from 1 species
UUUCGCAAAUCGUAUAGGACUUCUCCUUUUCUACCAAGAUCGAUAGAUUCCAUCUAAGUACAUCCUACUCCAAACAACAAACCUGAACCUACUGAAGCCAACAUACACAGCAAGGAUCCAAAUAGCUAGGGACCAAGAGAAUAUGCAGUCAAAUCCAAUAGCCUUACUAUGAAUAGCCAAUGGCACCGUAGGUCAAAGGACCACUCACACCACU